AACGAACGCUGGCGGCAUGCCUAACACAUGCAAGUCGAACGAGAUCUUCGGGUCUAGUGGCGCACGGGUGCGUAACGCGUGGGAAUCUGCCCUUUGGUUCGGAAUAACAGUUGGAAACGACUGCUGAUACCGGGUGAUGCCGAAAGUCCAAAGAUUUAUCGCCAGAGGAUGAGCCCGCGUAGGAUUAGCUAGUUGGUGUGGUAAAGGCGCACCAAGGCGACGAUCCUUAGCUGGUAUGAGAGGAUGAUCAGCCACACUGGGACUGAGACACGGCCCAGACUCCUACGGGAGGCAGCAGUGGGGAAUAUUGGACAAUGGGCGAAAGCCUGAUCCAGCAAUGCCGCGUGAGUGAUGAAGGCCUUAGGGUUGUAAAGCUCUUUUACCCGGGAUGAUAAUGACAGUACCGGGAGAAUAAGCUCCGGCUAACUCCGUGCCAGCCGCCGCCGUAA
rnacentral:rRNA from 1 species